rnacentral:rRNA from 1 species
AAGCAAGAGAGCGAUCUGGAGCAAAACUCUAAAAAACAAUCUCAGUUCAGAUUGCAGGCUGCAACUCGCCUGCAUGAAGUCGGAAUUGCUAGUAAUCGUAGGUCAGCAUACUACGGUGAAUACGUUCCCGGGCCCUUGUACACACCGCCCGUCAAGCCAUGGAAGCCGGGAGUGCCUGAAGUGCGCAACCGCAAGGAGCGCCCUAAGGUAAAACUGGUGACUGGGGCUAAGUCGUAACAAGGUAAC